GGUUCUAGGGGCUAAUGGCUAGCGCUCUGGACUCUGAAUCCAGCGAUCCGAGUUCGAAUCUCGGUGGGGUGU
rnacentral:tRNA from 1 species